AUCACUAACAGGAACAAAGCUGGAAUGGAAGUGCUCCCAGAUCCUGGGCAGAGACAGAAACCGUUCUAGAUCAUUUGCGCUGGGGAAAGCUAUUCCAGCUGUCCCGUGCAGAGACGUGCUUGGCAAGGAGCAGAAGUUGCAGGCCAACAACUGCAUGUGGGGGCAAAUCCACCAGCUUCAGUCAAGCCUCGGAUGACUGAGCUCCCAGCUGACAACUUGAUUACAGACUUGUGAGAGACCCUUAGCCAGACCCACUCCAGAUCCAGGUCUCAGGAGCCCUCGGGGAAGGUUUGGUGGCUGCAGAAAGGACUUUCUCUGAGAAUCCAGAAGUGACAUCAGGGAAGAACCUCAAAGGAUCCAUGGUCCCCCAACACAGAGCAAGUGACUGCAGCUCCUAGAAUCUCUUCCUUCAGGGAGGCCCAGAGAAAUUAAGUGUUAAGAGGCCUUACCCUCAGACAACAUCUUCUCUCAGCCUCUGUGGCUACAGUAUGUACAGUGUGCUGAGUGUGGAAGGACCUCUCUCCCCAUUAAAUCUGUAGUGCGAUCACAUGGAAGGCAUCUGAGGACCUAGAGCAAGGAAACAUGGCUAUCCUGCCCCACUGUGGUCCCGAUCUGGGUACUGAAUCAGCAUCUUCCAAGGAUUUUUAAAAUAGAAACCCCCAGUUCUCAGCCUACACCAAUGAAUCAGAAUCUCUCAGGAUGGGGCUCAGGGAAGCUGUGUUUUUAAAAACUCCAAGUACCUUACUUACCUUCUCACCAUCAUGAAAAUAGAAAUGAACAAAAUUAACAAGGCAACAAUUUCCAGGCACUGGACCAGAGGCACAGUGCAGAACUGUGAUCUCUGAGAGGAGGGCAACACUCAAGGGAGGGAGACCUGUGUUUGCCCAGGUUCUGCCCAGGUGAAGCACAGGGAGGGGAAACCCAGGCAGACCACAGUGGUCUGAUGGAGCUGAGCAGAAUUCGGAGCUUGGGCUGCUGAAGUGGCUGGCAUAUGUGGGGGCAGAAAACAGGAAAGGAAAGCUGCAGAGGGAGAGAACAAAGACCCCAGAAAUGUGUAUGCGCAUGUCCUGUGGGCUGUUGGUUGAAGCCCGGGCUUUGAAGAACAGAGCAAGACUUGGUGGAGCCUAGCAGAGAGCAGCUGCUAAGGGCCUGGGAACAGAAUGGAAACAUAGGGAGACUCUCUGCAGGGCUGGGAGUUCCAGCUCAGCUAGAAUGGAGAAACUCUGGUGUGCAUCUCAGUGGAGACUGCAUAAAGGCCAUGUAUUAGGAAUAAAGACUACGCUUCUAGGAGAAGGACUACACCCUAGCACAGAGUUUCUUGGUAUCAGCAAUACUAGCAUUUUAAACAGGUCAUUUUUAUUUUCCCCUCCGGAGACAGAGUUUCACUCUUGUUGCCAAGGCUGGAGUGCAAUGGCAUGACCUCAGCUCACUGCAACCUCUGCCUCCCAGGUUCAAGGGAUUCUCCUGCCUCAGCUUCCCAAGUAGCUGGGAUUACAGGUGUGCACCACCACGCCUGGUUAAUUUUUGUAUUAUUAGUAGAGACGGGGUUUCACCAUGUCGGCCAAGCUGGCCUUGAACUCCUGACCUCAGGUGAUCCACCCACCUCGGCCUCCCAAAGCACCGGGAUUACAGGCGUGAGCCACCAUGCUCAGCCCAGGUCAUCUUUUUUGUGGGGAUUGUUUUGUGUAUUAUAGGAUGUUUAGCAGCAACCUUGCCCUCUACCCACAAAAUGCCAAUAGCACCCCACCCCCAUUUAUGAGAAACCAAAAUGUUUCCAGAUAUUGUAAAAUGUCCCUGGAAUGGGGAGCAAAAUUGUUCUCAGUUGAGAAUAACUGUCCUAGUAUAACGGCCACAUCUUAUGACUAAUGAUGAAAUGAAAAUAGACCAGUCCUAACAACAACAACAAAACAACAAAAGAAAACAAAGUGUAAUAGGAUCAUGAGAAUUCAUCAGUAUUUAAAUGUCUAAAUUAAUAGCCAAACUCAUAACAUUUAAAGGAAAACAACAUAAUCCAAUCUCCCUACAAGGUAUCAUCCACAAUAUCCCACCUACAGUGAGACAAGUGAAACAAACAAAAAAAUAUGAUCUAUAAUCAAGCAAUUGGUAGUCAAUAGAAACAGACACUUAGAUGGCACAGGUAUUGUAAUUAACAGAAAGACUACAAUAGCUAUUAUAAAUGAGGGGUCAGGAAAUGUAAAGAUGGAUCAAUAGAAAUUAUUCAAUCUGAAGAACAGAGAGUAAAAAGAGUUUUUUUAGAAAAAAAUGAAUAACCAUUGCUAUUGACUUUAAUGUGUCAAGAUUUUCAAUGGAGAAAGAAAGUCUUAUCAGCAAAUAUUAAUAGUAUAGAAGAAAUUGGAUAGUGACAUGGGAAAAAAGAACCCCACACUACAUACAAAAAUCAGCCUGAGAUGAAUCAAAGAUGAUUUAGAUUUUAAAAGUGAAGUCUAAAACAGUACAAAAACUGAAAGAAAGCAUAAGAGGAUGUGAUUUUGGUAAGCCAAAGUUUCUUAAGUGGGACACAAACAGCAACCAACAAUAACUAUAAAAGAAAAAUAUGAUAAAUUGCAUGCCAUCAAAUUAAAACCUUUUGUUUCUCAAAUGCACCAUGAAGAAAAUGAGUAAGCAAGCCACAGAUUGGGAGAAAAUAUUCCCAAAACAUAUAUUUCACAAAGGACUGGUGUCCAAAAUAUAAAAAGAAUGCAUACAACUUUUUAGAGACAGGGUCUCAUUCUGUUGUCCAAGCUGGACUGCAGUGGUGUGAUCAUAGCUCACUGCAGCCUGAACUCCUAGGCCCAUGUGAUCCUCCCACCUCGACCUCCCAAGUAGCUGGGACUGCAAGCACAUGCCACAACACCUGGCUCAAUUUUUUUUUUCUUUUUUUAUAGAGACAAGAGUCUCCCUAUGUUGCCCAACCUGCUGAGCUGGUCUGAAACUCCUGGGCUCAAAUGAUCUCUUGGCUUGGCCUCCCAAAGUGCUGGGAUUAUAGGCCUGAGCCACCGUGCCCAGCCUAAAUCCCCAGUUUUUGAAAUAAGCAAAAUAAAUUUGAACAGACAUUUCGCAAAAGGAGAUCCAUCAUUGGUCAAUUACCACAUGAAGAGUGCUCAACAUUGUUGGUCUUCAGGAAAAUGAAAAUUAAAACCACGAUCUGUACAAAUUCAUCCAACAAAAUACCUAAAAUUCAAAAGACAGAAAACAUUCAGUGUUGGAAAGAAUAUGGGGCGAUCAGGACUCUUGUGAACUGUUGGUAGAAAUAUAAAAAAGUACAACCAGUUUGAAAAAAGUUCCAACAGUUUCCUUGUAAAAUUAAAUAAACACCUGCUUUAUGAUCAAACAAUUCUACUUCUAGGUAUUUACCCAAGAAAAAGGGAAAUACACAUUCACAGUAAAAGACUUGUUCAAGAAGAUUCAUAGUAGCUUUAUUUACAAUAUCUAAAAGCAGAAAACAGCCCACGUGUCAUUAAUAGUAGACUGGCUAACUAAACUGUGGCAACUUCACAUUGUGG
ensembl:lncRNA novel transcript